rnacentral:lncRNA from 1 species
GUUUGGAUAUUCUCUAUUUCACAUGCUUCUUCUCAUAUGUUCCAGAGAUCUGACUUGAGUGUUGGAGGGUGUCCGUUGGAGCUAACUCCGAUCAGAAUUUAUUUUACAGAUCUCGUUGCCUCUAUAAAUACCGCUUGACUCCAACCACCCCAACUAGGGUUAGAAAUCUGUCACAACAUAUUGGCACUACAGGAAGGGCCAAACCUAUUUUUUGAGGAGCAGG